GGAGGGGUGCGAGCGUUGUUCGGAAUUACUGGGCGUAAAGAGCGCGUAGGGCGGUUGGGGUAAGUCGAAUGUGAAAUCCCGGGGGCUCAACCCCGGAACUGCAUCCGAAACUGCUCAGCUAGAGUCCCGGAGAGGAAGGCAGAAUUCCCAGUGUAGGGGUGAAAUCCGUAGAUAUUGGGAGGAAUACCAGUGGCGAAGGCGGCCUUCUGGACGGUGACUGACGCUAAAGCGCGAAAGCGUGGGGAGCAAACAGGAUUAGAUACCCUGGUAGUCCACGCCGUAAACGUUGUGCACUAGGCGUCGGAGGUAUUCACUCCGCCGGUGCCGCAGCUAACGCAUGAAGUGCACCGCCUGGGGAGUACGGCCGCAAGGCUA
rnacentral:rRNA from 1 species